rnacentral:sRNA from 1 species
UCCAGGCCUAUAGCCAGGUGUCUACCACCACUGAGGGGCGUCAUGGGGAGCUACAAGGGGUCUCCAGAGGCAGCGGGGAUGGCAUUGGCUCUGGGGGCACCAGUGUGACAGGGCAGGGCACUGAGCUGUGGCCGAGGGGCAGAGUGUCAGAGGGCCUCCUGGGGAAUGCUGUCUCUGGCAGAGAGGCAGCCACUGAGGGAAGAGGAUCUGAGGAUAGAGAAUGGCCGGAUGGGCAGGCAGGAGGGCAGACUGGUGAGCCCCAGCUUACAGCUGCACUGCUGCCCACAGCGUGCCAAGUUGGAGGCCGCCAUUGCCGAGGCUGAGGAGCGUGGGGAGCUGGCACUCAAGGAUGCUCGUGCCAAGCAGGAGGAGCUGGAAGCCGCCCUGCAGCGGGCCAAGCAGGAUAUGGCACGGCAGCUGCGUGAGUACCAGGAACUCAUGAGCGUGAAGCUGGCCCUGGACAUCGAGAUCGCCACCUACCGCAAGCUGCUGGAGGGCGAGGAGAGCCGGUUGGCUGGAGAUGGAGUGGGAGCCGUGAAUAUCUCUGUGAUGAAUUCCACUGGUGGCAGUAGCAGUGGCGGUGGCAUUGGGCUGACCCUCGGGGGAACCAUGGGCAGCAAUGCCCUGAGCUUCUCCAGCAGUGCGGGUCCUGGGCCCCUGAAGGCUUAUUCCAUCCGGACCGCAUCCGCCAGUCGCAGGAGUGCCCGCAACUGAGCCACCUCCCACCACUCCAUUCCCCCGGCUACCGCCCACAAUCACAAGAAGCUUCCCACCCCUGCCUCCCAUGCCUGGUCCUAAGACAGUGAGAC